rnacentral:misc_RNA from 1 species
GAUGAAGAACGCAGCGAAAUGCGAUAAGUAAUGUGAAUUGCAGAAUUCAGUGAACCAUCGAAUCUUUGAACGCACAUUGCGCCCGGCAGUAAUCUGCCGGGCAUGCCUGUCCGAGCGUCAUUUCUACCCUCGAGCGAGUCCAGCAUCUAGGUGCUGGGCCCGCCCGGCGUUGGAGCACUACGGGAAGCCCUGUGCUGUCCCCCGUAGGCCCCGAAAUGAAGUGGCGGUCCUGCCGCGGCGCCCCCUGCGCAGUAUAACAGCUCGCUUCGGGACCCGGUGGAGGCCUGCCGUCAAACCUAUACUCUCUAAGUUUGACCUCGGAUCAGGUAGGGUUACCCGCUGAACUUAAGCAUAUCAAUAAGCGGAGGA